UACGUAGGCAGCAAGCGUUGUUCGGAAUUACUGGGCGUAAAGAGCGCGCAGGCGGUCGUCCAAGUCGCGUGUGAAAGCCCCCGGCUCAACUGGGGAGGGUCACGCGAUACUGGUCGACUCGAAGGCAGGAGAGGGUAGUGGAAUUCCCGGUGUAGUGGUGAAAUGCGUAGAUAUCGGGAGGAACACCAGUGGCGAAGGCGACUACCUGGCCUGUUCUUGACGCUGAGGCGCGAAAGCUAGGGGAGCAAACGGG
rnacentral:rRNA from 1 species